UGCGGAGGAUCAUUAUUGAAUAAACUUGAACAGGCUGUUGCUGGUCCUCCUGGGGGCAUGUGCACGCUUGUCAUCUUUAUCAUUUCUCCAAACUGUGCACCUCUUGUAGACCUGGAGCUGGAUUUCAUUCGAGUUGGGACUGCUGUGCUUCACAAGCCAGCUUUGCCUUGCAGGUCUAUGUUCACAAAAUCUGUUUAGAAUGGUUGGCCUAUAUAUAUAAAAGUUAUACAACUUUCAGCAACGGAUCUCUUGGUUCUCGCAUCGAUGAAGAACGCAGCGAAAUGCGAUAAGUAAUGUGAAUUGCAGAAUUCAGUGAAUCAUCGAAUCUUUGAACGCAUCUUGCGCUCCUUGGUAUUCCGAGGAGCAUGCCUGUUUGAGUGUCAUUUUAACUUCUCAACCAUGUCGAUUGUUUUUUUGAUAUGGUUUGGAUGUGGGGGUUUUAUAUUUUGCAGGCUGUGUAUUAAGUCGGCCCCCCUGCAACGCAUUAGUGGUAUCUGAGCAGAACUGCUACUAUUAGGUGUGAUAACUAUCUAUGCCUUUUGGUAUUCUGCAUGAACAGAUUGUGCUGCUUCCAACUGUGCACAUUUUUGUGUUUGAUAAAUUUGACCUCAAAUCAGGUAGGACUACCCGCUGAACUUAAGCAUAUCAAUAAGCG
rnacentral:sRNA from 1 species